rnacentral:hammerhead_ribozyme from 1 species
AUCCGGCUGACGAGUCCUAUAUAGAACUAAAAGCGUAUCCUGGAU